rnacentral:lncRNA from 1 species
AUGCAUAAGCAGAUAAGGAUCCUCAGCGCGACUGCGGGGCGAAAGCAGCCGGGAACCAGGCUGCCGAGCGGGCUCGACCCGCUCCCCUCUGCUCUCGGGACCCCCCGGCCGCUCCGGAGCGUCGCCGCCUCUUGGUCCCAGGGAUCCCCAUGCGUCCUGCAGCCUGAGCAGGGACGAGGCACCAGGGUUUGGCUGCUCCCUUCUCCCUUCCUGACUCCUGUUUGGAGCCGGGGAGGGGGGAAACAGGCUUUGUUGCCUUUUGCAAAAAGGGGUUUUACGAGGGCUCCGCUUCGCGCUCGCAUUCCUCCGGCUUCCACGAGAGGGCAAGGCUCACCCGCAACGGGGCCGCCGCAGGGAAACGGCCUCUCCGGAGCCGGGCCGGUGCGGCGGGCUGCGAGUGCGGGAGGCUCCCGGGCAUCGCCUGGGGGUUGCUCGCCCCUGCACGAGCCCGGCCCUCUCCAUAACCGGCUUUUAAUGACAUUUGCAUUGGGGACUUUGCGUGCCAUUUCCAGACUGGCCUGUGCUGGCCGCGGUGCUGCUCCCAAUGCUGCGGAAGGAGGGAGGAUUUUGCACGUCGGAUUUGGGCACGGCGUUAACCACUCGUGCAGACCUCCUCUAGCAAGCACUGGGAGCCAAGGGAUUUCUGCGGACAUUCGGCAUUUCAUCCCCAAAUUCGCUGCGUCAUCCUCACGCUGCCCUCAACAGACACUUGCCCCAGUGUCAAACACGGCUUCUGCCACUGCUCCAGCUCCAUUUCCAGGCUGGUAUUGCCCUCGCCCCUGGACAGGGAAGCGUUCCGGUAUUCCAGCCCUCGGCACCCGGAGCGCUGCUGGAGCCCCCACGCUGCCCUCAGUGAGCAGCUCUGCUCUUGACUCGUGCCAAUCUUGCACUGCGAAAAUAUAUUGCCUGCGAUCUGCAGGGGAAGCGGCAAACUCGCUUCGCCUGUGUCGUCACGCAAGGCUAAAAGCUCCACGGAGAGCUGGGACCCUUUGGAGACAGGCUCCCGCCACGGGGGAGACGGGAGGCUAUUUUCUCRGCUUGGGCAAAGACUGUGGUUUCAGGCAGCAAAUUGUCUGA